AGUGAACGCUGGCGGUAGGCCUAACACAUGCAAGUCGAACGGCAGCACAGUAAGAGCUUGCUCUUACGGGUGGCGAGUGGCGGACGGGUGAGGAAUACAUCGGAAUCUACUUUUUCGUGGGGGCUAACGUAGGGAAACUUACGCUAAUACCGCAUACGACCUACGGGUGAAAGCAGGGGUUCUUCGGACCUUGCGCGAUUGAAUGAGCCGAUGUCGGAUUAGCUAGUUGGCGGGGUAAAGGCCCACCAAGGCGACGAUCCGUAGCUGGUCUGAGAGGAUGUACAGACACACUGGAACUGAGACACGGUCCAGACUCCUACGGGAGGCAGCGGUGGGGAAUAUUGGACAAUGGGCGAAAGCCUGAUACAGCCAUACCGCGUGGGUGAAGAAGGCCUUCGGGUUGUAAAGCCCUUUUGUUGGGAAAGAAAAGCAGCAGGUUAAUACCCCGCUGUUCUGACGGUACCCAAAGAAUAAGCACCGGCUAACUUCGUG
rnacentral:rRNA from 1 species